UACGAAGGGGGCUAGCGUUGUUCGGAAUUACUGGGCGUAAAGCGUGCGCAGGCGGCCUUCCAAGUCAGGGGUGAAAGCCCAGAGCUCAACUCUGGAAUUGCCUUUGAGACUGUGAGGCUUGAGUACGGGAGAGGUGAGUGGAAUUCCCAGUGUAGAGGUGAAAUUCGUAGAUAUUCGCAAGAACACCAGUGGCGAAGGCGGCUCACUGGCCCGAUACUGACGCUGAGGCACGAAAGCGUGGGGAGCAAACAGG
rnacentral:rRNA from 1 species